rnacentral:rRNA from 1 species
UUCUAACAGAAAAUUAUUGUUAGUACACCCUGCUCAAUGAUCUUUAAAUAGCCGCAUUAAUAUGUGCUAAGGUAGCGUAAUAACUUGCCUAUUAAUUGUAGGCUAGAAUGAAAGGGCAAACAUAAGAAGAACUUUAUUAUUUUUACUUCUCAAACCUUAUUUAUAAGUAAGAAAGCUUAUAUUUCUAUGAAGGACGACAAGACCCUAUCGAGCUUCACUGAUAGUUUUACUGGGGCGGUAAAAUAAUAAUAACCUACAUCAUUUCUUCCAAGCAUCCCGAAAUGAGAAUUAACCUAGCUACCGUAGGGAUAACAGCAUUAUUCCUUUCAAGAGACCAUAUCAAAAAAGGAGAUUGUGACCUCGAUGUUGAAUAAUUUAUCUUUCUUUAACGAAGCAAAAUUCAGAAAAGAGAGUCUGUUCGACUCUUAAAUAAUUACA